rfam:Danio rerio chromosome 3, GRCz11 reference primary assembly.
CCAAGCUGGUCUGUGAUUUAGGUAGUUUCAAGUUGUUGGGCUGGACGUUUAAUUUCACAGGAACCUGAAACUGCCUGAAUUGCUCCAGUUAAA